CUACAUUUCAGAAACAGGAACAGCGCAUGGUGUUAGUUAUCUGCGUCCCUCCUACUUACUGGAAUACUAGGAUUAGGUUCUGAGGUGUGCACCAACAGGCCUGGGUCACGUGCUGCUGAGGUCAGAUACAAGAACCCCUACUCACUAGAUUCUAAUCAACACUCAGAAUUGAAGAGUAUGUGUCCUAGGAGUGCACCCACCCCAGACGACUGAGCAUCUAUAGUCACUAGAGGACUACAAAGCUAAGUAAGUCUAGAAAGCCAGACACCAAGUAAGUAAUGCUACCAUCAGGUGAAGACAUUUCCUUGUUCGCUCGC